rnacentral:rRNA from 1 species
UAGGGAAUCUUCCACAAUGGACGAAAGUCUGAUGGAGCAACGCCGCGUGAGUGAAGAAGGGUUUCGGCUCGUAAAACUCUGUUGUUAAAGAAGAACAUAUCCGAGAGUAACUGUUCAGGUAUUGACGGUAUUUAACCAGAAAGCCACGGCUAACUACGUGCCAG